GACGAACGCUGGCGGCGUGCCUAAUACAUGCAAGUCGAACGCCUCUUUUUCCACCGGAGCUUGCUCCAUCGGAAAAAGAGGAGUGGCGAACGGGUGAGUAACACGUGGGUAACCUGCCCAUCAGAAGGGGAUAACACUUGGAAACAGGUGCUAAUACCGUAUAACAAUCGAAACCGCAUGGUUUCGAUUUGAAAGGCGCUUUCGGGUGUCGCUGAUGGAUGGACCCGCGGUGCAUUAGCUAGUUGGUGAGGUAACGGCUCACCAAGGCGACGAUGCAUAGCCGACCUGAGAGGGUGAUCGGCCACAUUGGGACUGAGACACGGCCCAA
rnacentral:rRNA from 1 species